GUGGGGAAUAUUGCGCAAUGGGCGAAAGCCUGACGCAGCGACGCCGCGUGGGGGAGGAAGGCCUCAGGGUUGUAAACCCCUGUCAGGUGGGACGAACUCCGUAAUGGCAAAUAGGCAUUACGACUGACGGUACCACCAGAGGAAGCUCCGGCUAACUCCGUGCCAGCAGCCGCGGUAAUACGGGGGGAGCAAGCGUUGUUCGGAAUUACUGGGCGUAAAGGGCGCGUAGGCGGCCAGGUCAGUCGCGUGUGAAAGGCCGGGGCUCAACCCCGAGCAUUGCACGUGAUACUGCCUGGCUCGAGAGAGGUAGGGGCGAGUGGAAUUCCCGGUGUAGCGGUGGAAUGCGUAGAUAUCGGGAAGAACACCUGUGGCGAAGGCGGCUCGCUGGACCUUUUCUGACGCUGAAGCGCGAAAGCGUGGGGAGCAAACAGG
rnacentral:rRNA from 1 species